CUCAGAGGAAACUUGGGAAGCUUCAAGAAUUGUUCAUGUCUUCACUCUUCUUUAACAUUGCCUGUGUUCUCCAGUGUUUCCCUUAUGUUGCCCUGGAUCCCGACUGCCUCCCUCGUUCCUCGACUCCUCGCUCGCCGUUGCACUCUGACGCCUCUCUCUCGCCCCGGAUCACCUGCCUGCCCCAUGGACUGCCUCGUUCCUUCGCUCUCAUCAGCACUUGGCUGAUUGUGACAACGCGGAUUUGAACCCAGGAUUCUCCCACAACAAGAUCCCACACUCUGUGUGGCAGCAUGCAGGGCACGCCCCCGCAAGUGCCUCACGCUGCUGUCAACUGUCAGCAUUCAUCGCACCUGGCAGCAAUCAGGAAGACACCAUGGGAAUCCGCGCCGGAACGUUGUUAACUCUUGUAUUGCCUCCCUCGAUCCUCAGUCACUCGCCUGGACUCGGACCUUGUUUGCUUGCCGCCUGCCCUCGACCUCCUGCCUGUCCCCGGAUCUUCCUUGUGCCUAUUCCUCCUUGACCAGACAACACGCAUGUACAACAUCUUCUUGUUUCAUUUACAUGGUUAACUUUAGACUUAAUCCUGCAACCAACACUUUGAGUAGCAUACACAUCCCACACAAUCAUCAAA